rnacentral:rRNA from 1 species
AAUGAACGUUGGCGGCGUGGAUUAGGCAUGCAAGUCGUACGGGUCGGUGUAGCAAUACAACGGCAAGUGGCGAAAGGGAGAGUAACACGUAGAUACCUACCCUCUGGUCGGGGAUACCGCGGCAUAACCGCAAGUAAUACCCGAUAAGAUCUCCGGAUCAAAGGUGUGAUUCCGCCGGAGGAGGGGUCUGCGUUCUAUCAGCUUGUUGGUGAGGUAAUGGCUCACCAAGGCUAAGACGGAUACGGGGUGUGAGAGCAUGCCCCCGCUCACUGGGACUGAGACACUGCCCAGACACCUCCGGGUGGCUGCAGUCGAGAAUCUUCGGCAAUGGGCGCAAGCCUGACCGAGCGACGCCGCGUGCGGGAUGAAGGCCUUCGGGUUGUAAACCGCUGUCGAGGGGAAUGAAGUGUAGGUGGGUACUCCCAUCAUAUUGACAGAGCCUCAGAGGAAGCACGGGCUAAGUAUGUGCCAGCAGCCGCCGUAACAC